rnacentral:rRNA from 1 species
GAAUAUUGGACAAUGGGCGCAAGCCUGAUCCAGCCAUGCCGCGUGUGUGAAGAAGGCCUUCGGGUUGUAAAGCACUUUCAGCGAGGAGGAAGGGUGUUGUGUUAAUAGCACAGCAUUUUGACGUUACUCGCAGAAGAAGCACCGGCUAACUCCGUGCCAGCAGCCGCGGUAAUACGGAGGGUGCAAGCGUUAAUCGGAAUUACUGGGCGUAAAGCGCACGUAGGCGGUGUGUUAAGUUGGAUGUGAAAGCCCCGGGCUCAACCUGGGAACUGCAUCCAAAACUGGCAAGCUAGAGUAUGGCAGAGGGUGGUGGAAUUUCCUGUGUAGCGGUGAAAUGCGUAGAUAUAGGAAGGAACACCAGUGGCGAAGGCGACCACCUGGGCUAAUACUGACACUGAGGUGCGAAAGCGUGGGGAGCAAACAGG